rnacentral:rRNA from 1 species
UACGUAGGGAGCAAGCGUUGUCCGGAUUUAUUGGGCGUAGAGAGCUCGUAGGCGGUUUAGUUAGUCAGGUGUGAAACCUCCAGGCUCAACCUGGAGACGCCACUUGAUACUGCCAUGACUUGAGUUCGGCAGGGGAUCACGGAAUUCCUGGUGUAGCGGUGAAAUGCGCAGAUAUCAGGAGGAACACCGAUGGCGAAGGCAGUGAUCUGGGCCGAUACUGACGCUGAGGAGCGAAAGCGUGGGGAGCGAACAGG